ACCAUGGUUAUAUUCUGAUUUUAAUGCAAAUAUGCCUUCUCAAGAACUUGUCAUAAUAAAUACUGUCUUAAAGGGUUCUUGAACCUUAAAUUUUUAAUGCUUUCUCCUCAUUUAUCCAUUUGUUUCUAAUGCCCAUCUUGACCAGGACUCUGUGGUAGAAUAUUGUAUCUCAGCGGGACCUCCCUGGUUAAAAUAAUCCCUGGUUAAAAUAAUUGCUUCUGACUCUUGGUAGCAAAAUUUUAAAUGUUUGCCUUAGGGCCAGUGUUAAUGUUGGCAUGGAUACUGGACCAACUAAGCCAGCAAAAAAAUAAAUAAUAAUAAUGAUAAAAUUAAAAAUCCUUAUUGUUGAAACCUGCAAUACAGUUCUAAUACAGACCUAGUCUGUGUGUUUGUUCAGAGGCUAAUGGGAUUAACCUUGCAUCUCUCUAAAAUGGAAAUGUUUUCACAUAACCACUCCUGGAAAUUUUUCCCAUUGCAAAUGGCUUGUGAUUGUAACAUGUGUAUGUUGCUUAGCAACUCCAGAUGGAUGUGCAUUAAGUAAAUCAUUUUACACCAUGUGAAAAUCCAGAAUGGAGCUGAAAGGUAUUUUCACAGCAUUUAUAGGUGCCCAUCUUUCAAGCAGUUGUCUCAUCGAAGCGAAUUUAACAGUGGAGCUGGAGAAUGUUUCCAUUGCUCACGUUGGACUGUAAUUGAAAGGAACAGAGAAAAUGAUCAUCUGGACUUGCUAACACCCAAGACGAGAACUUGGAUUGAUGAGAAAGUGGAAAGCACCGGACGUUGGGUAAACAUGGUCAACCUGGACCAGAAAUGGACCUGGUUUCACCACAGUGGAGUUGGUUGGACAUCACAACAGCAGUUUGGCAGAAUGACAAAGCUGGUGUCACUCUUCAACCCUAGAGAAUCCAGAAUAUGUUCCAGUGCCUCAACAACUCAAGCAGUGAGUUUGUCAUCGUCUCAUGGGACACAUUAGAACAUGGAUCACAUGCCUGAGAACGAAAGGGAAGGACACACAGCAGCCUGGGAAAGGAAACAGACGUCCAGCGGCUCAGUGGCUGUCAUUGCGAAAGCAAAUUCCCACUCUAAUUACCAUCAAGAGUUUCUGUGACUGUGUGCGUCUCUCUCACAGCACAGGCUCUCAAGACACUUCAACUGGUCUUCCAGCACAAGCAGGUAAUGUAAUCUGAAGGGGCUGCUCCAAAGGCAAGGGAUGGAGAGAAGCAGGGCCUCUGUGAUUUCUGCCCAUUUCAUCACAUGUUUAGCUUUCGCAGGCUUGGUGGGAGCAGGGAAGCCCUGGUUGCCGCCAGAAGUGUGUAGGACACUGCUAUGUGACAAAGUCACUUUUGAUGCCAAUGCUUAUAAAUUUUGUGUUGAGCCAUUCAAUCAAACCAUGGCAAACACUGACUACCAACUCAGAUGUCCCUGGCCAAGCACUAGAAGAGACUACGUCAAACUGAUUCUGUGCCUGGAGGAUCUGGCUAACUCCACAUGCUGUAAAGACGUUUCCUACAGACACGACCUAAUGCUGGACAUCCAUAAGGUUUAUUUCUCCAUGUGCUCAUAUAUGCAAGACCCAGGAAUUCCCAUCCUUCUGAUGCUCAUCUUGCCCUGUGUCAUCAUCCCAUUCUUUAUACCAUUCAUCUGCCAGUACUUCAAACUGCAGGAGUAUAGACUGCCAAACAACUAAUGAUUGGACAGUGUUUUGCAUUUCAGAAUGCACAAUGUGCAUGAAUAAAAAGUACAUAUUUUAUAAAAAAAAUUUGUAGGCCUCACAAUAUAUAAGUUUCCUAAAGUCCAUAUUGUUAGAUUACAUUUAUGCAUUUGGGAGACAAUUAUUCCAAGCAACUUAUAUUGCAUUUAGGGUACAAAAUAUGUGUAAUUGUUCACAUAUUCAGCAUUUUUUUUUUUUUUUGUAUAUAUUAAUUUGUGUACAUCCAUCCUAAUAUGAUGUUUAUUUUGUGCUCAAGAAACAUUUCUUAUGACCAAUGUUUAAAACUGUUGUGCUGCUUAAUAUUUUUGUGAAAAAAAAAAAAAAAAAAAAAAAAAGAUUUUUAGGAUCCUCCCAAAAAUCUAAACAACUUACUGAAACCAAACUUUAAAGCAACUUUGCAUAUAUUAUGAGCUGGAUGGUAGGCAAAGAAAAUAAAAGAAAAGAGUAAUAGUGUGUAAUAUAUAGUAUUUAUAUAACAUAUUUGAACCUUUUUUUUUUUUUUUGCUACUGCUCAGUCCUAUUCAUAGCAGUCGCUAAACAAUAAUUUACACAGUCGAUGCAAAGGCAUUUUAAACACGUAAUAAAUAUUUAUUUUGACAAAAAAAAAAAAAAAAAGAAAUUUGUACAGUGCUCUGAAAACAGUUUUUUCUUUUUACAGAAUAGCAAUCGGUACUGCUAUUAAAUAUCCACAUAACAUCAUAGUAUUUUCAGUAUUGCUAAUGCUAAAGUAACACAUCAUUUUUACCAUAUGAACUCAAAAUGUUUGUCUUAUUUUCUGACAGACAAACUACAUGUCUUUAUGACCAGGCAACACUUUCAGAUCUAUAGAGGCCUUUCUGACACAGUCUAAAAUGAUGCAAACUCAAAAAGACUAAAUGACAUAAAGGAUCUUUUCCAGUGUGUUUUUUUUUUUUUUUUUUUUUUUUUUGUUAUCUAGGGGUCAUUUACGUGGAUCUAAAAUACAAAGUAAAUUAGUAUUGUUUGUAAUAGCAUGUGACAGAGGUAAGCAUUUUCCUUUGUACAAUGAGUCUCAGUAGUCUGAACUGAUGCACUGUUUAUAACUGAGUAAAAUGCUUUGUUAGAACCAAAACACUGUCUUUAGUGUUGUGUGUAUCUGUGUGCACUGCUGAAUGCAAAAUAUGUUGGGUGCGAAUGAGAUUAAUAUAAUCUGACUGCAAAUA